UCCGUAGGUGAACCUGCGGAAGGAUCAUUACCUUUGGCUGCCGUGAGCGCUUCGGCGUGAGCGACGGUCAUUCUAGCGAGGCCUCCGUUCCGGGCAACCGGCGCGGGGCUGACCUAACCCUUCUCUACGAGUACCUAACAAUUCUCCUUCGGCGGGGUCUACCCGCCGCUGGACUUCAAGAACCAACUUGCAUUUAGCAUUACCUGUUCUGAUAACAAUUAAUUAUUACAACUUUCAACAAUGGAUCUCUUGGCUCUGGCAUCGAUGAAGAACGCAGCGAAAUGCGAUAAGUAGUGUGAAUUGCAGAAUUCAGUGAAUCAUCGAAUCUUUGAACGCACAUUGCGCCCCUUGGUAUUCCAUGGGGCAUGCCUGUUCGAGCGUCAUCUACACCCUCAAGCACUGCUUGGUGUUGGGCGUCUGUCCCGCCUUCGCGCGUGGACUCGCCCCAAAGUCAUUGGCAGCGGUCUCUGGCACCUCAACGCGCAGUACAAUGCGUUCAUUGGGGUGCCGUGGGCGCGUCCACUAAGCUUUUACCGUCUUUGACCUCGGAUCAGGUAGGGAUACCCGCUGAACUUAAGCAUAUCAAUAAGCGGAGGA
rnacentral:rRNA from 1 species